UUAAUGGCAAGCUGUAGCUGGACUCUAGAUGGUAUUCCUAAAUAGAAACAAGACCUCUGGAAUGGUUAAGCUACUGAUCGGCAUCUGGGUGACUUGUUUAAUAAUUUUUUUUUUUUUUUCAGAUGCAGAGGGACAAGAGACGCACCAAAGAGCAACGGAGGAGAGUUGAGCGCCGUGAGAAGGUGCGAAGCGAUGAACAAAGCAGGAUAUCGGCACCGGAGCUGACUCGGGCAAGGUGGUACCUGAGCGUCAACGUGCCAGCCCAAAGCGACGGAGGCCAGGCGGGCGAGCGGCCCAGGUAUAGGAGAGGGUAAGAGGAAUUGCUGCGGCCAGGCUGUGGUUUCAGGCAGUAUCUCAGCAUGUGCAUCUUUCUUUUUUUCUUUUUUUCAGGUGCCGUACGCAGCCUCAGAGGGGCGAAGCCGUGUGCCGGUGACCGGUCUGAGAAGGUGAGGCGGUUGUGGGCCGGGUUGGCGUCUAGUAGCACACUACUGUAUGGCAGCUCAGUUACACGUUUCUCUCUGGUUUUUCAGGCACCGUGCGGGCUGCCUUUGGAAUUGGACGUGCAGUUGAGGUGAGCUGGGGUAGGAGUGAGGAGGAGCGCGGGGCCGGUGACUUCUCCCAAGCGCAACAGUAACGCUUUUUUUUCUCGGUCUCUUAGGUGCCACAAGCGAU